rnacentral:rRNA from 1 species
AGAGUUUGAUCAUGGCUCAGAUUGAACGCUGGCGGCAGGCCUUACACAUGCAAGUCGAGCGAGAAAGGUACCUUGGCGCUGACGAGUGGCGGACGGGUGAGUAAUGCUUGGGAAUCUGCCCAGUAGUGGGGGACAACACGGGGAAACUCGUGCUAAUACCGCAUACGUCCUACGGGAGAAAGUGGGGGAUCUUCGGACCUCACGCUAUUGGAUGAGCCCAAGUCGGAUUAGCUUGUUGGUGAGGUAAAGGCUCACCAAGGCGACGAUCCGUAGCUGGUCUGAGAGGACGAUCAGCCACACUGGGACUGAGACACGGCCCAGACUCCUACGGGAGGCAGCAGUGGGGAAUAUUGGACAAUGGGGGCAACCCUGAUCCAGCAAUGCCGCGUGUGUGAAGAAGGCCUGCGGGUUGUAAAGCACUUUCAGUAGAGAAGAAAUGCCUGGGGUUAAUAACUCCGGGUCUUGACGUAACCUACAGAAGAAGCACCGGCUAACUCCGUGCCAGCAGCCGCGGUAAUACGGAGGGUGCGAGCGUUAAUCGGAAUUACUGGGCGUAAAGCGCGCGUAGGCGGCUAGGUCAGUCGGAUGUGAAAGCCCCGGGCUUAACCUGGGAAUUGCAUUCGAAACUGCCUGGCUAGAGUAUGGGAGAGGGAAGUGGAAUUUCCGGUGUAGCGGUGAAAUGCGUAGAUAUCGGAAGGAACACCAGUGGCGAAGGCGACUUCCUGGCCCAAUACUGACGCUCAGGUGCGAAAGCGUGGGUAGCGAACAGGAUUAGAUACCCUGGUAGUCCACGCCGUAAACGAUGAGAACUAGAUGUCGGGAGGAUUGACCUUUCGGUGUCGCAGCUAACGCAUUAAGUUCUCCGCCUGGGGAGUACGCCGGCAACGGUAAAACUCAAAGGAAUUGACGGGGACCCGCACAAGCGGUGGAGCAUGUGGUUUAAUUCGAUGCAACGCGAAGAACCUUACCUGGUCUUGACAUCCUCGGAACUUAGCAGAGAUGCUUUGGUGCCUUCGGGAAUCGAGUGACAGGUGCUGCAUGGCUGUCGUCAGCUCGUGUCGUGAGAUGUUGGGUUAAGUCCCGCAACGAGCGCAACCCUCGCCCUUAGUUGCCAGCAUUCAGUUGGGCACUCUAGGGGAACUGCCGGUGAUAAGCCGGAGGAAGGUGGGGAUGACGUCAAGUCCUCAUGGCCCUUACGGGAUGGGCUACACACGUGCUACAAUGGCGGUGACAGUGGGUUAAUCCCCAAAAACCGUCUCAGUUCGGAUUGUCGCCUGCAACUCGGCGGCAUGAAGUUGGAAUCGCUAGUAAUCGCGUAACAGCAUGACGCGGUGAAUACGUUCCCGGGCCUUGUACACACCGCCCGUCACACCAUGGGAGUUGGGUUUACCCGAAGACGGUGCGCCGACCCGCAAGGGGGGCAGCCGGCCACGGUAAGUUCAGCGACUGGGGUGAAGUCGUAACAAGGUAGCC